rnacentral:rRNA from 1 species
GAUGAACGCUGGCGGCGUGCCUAAUACAUGCCAGUCGAACGGGGAGUAGCAAUACUCUUAGUGGCGAACGGGUGAGUAACGCGUUGGUACCUGCCCCGAAGCGGGGGAUAACGGACCGAAAGGUCCGCUAAUACCCCAUGUGCUCGGUAACGAGUAAAGGUGAAAACCACUUUGGGAGGGGCCUGCGUCCCAUCAGCUAGUUGGUAAGGUAACGGCUUACCAAGGCGAUGACGGGUAGGGGACCUGAGAGGGUGGCCCCCCACAAUGGAACUGAAACACGGUCCAUACACCUACGGGUGGCAGCAGUAGGGAAUAUUGGUAAUGGGCGCAAGCCUGAACCAGCAACGCCGCGUGUGCGAUGACGGCCUUCGGGUUGUAAAGCACUUUUGACUGGGACGAGGAAGGACGGUACCGGUCGAAUCAGCCUCGGCUAACUACGU